UACGUAGGGUGCAAGCGUUGUCCGGAAUUAUUGGGCGUAAAGAGCUCGUAGGCGGUCUGUCACGUCGGCUGUGAAAACCUGGGGCUCAACUCCGGGCCUGCAGCCGAUACGGGCAGACUAGAGUUCGGCAGGGGAGACUGGAAUUCCUGGUGUAGCGGUGAAAUGCGCAGAUAUCAGGAGGAACACCGGUGGCGAAGGCGGCUUCCUGGACCGACACUGACGCUGAGGCGCGAAAGCUAGGGGAGCAAACAGG
rnacentral:rRNA from 1 species